GGACACUGGGGGCACCCGUGCACUGAGCACCCACCCCUCAGAGCUCAGCCCCCUGCUGGGCACCCUCCACAGCAGGUCCAAGCCUCGUGAGCUGUCCCUCUCACACCACGUCUGCUGGGCACCCUCCAUGGCAGGUCCAAGCCCUGUGAACCAUCCCUCUCACACCACGUCUGCCGGGCACCCUCCAUGGCAGGUCCAAGCCUCGUGAGCCGUCCCUCUCACGCCACGUCUGCCGGGCACCCUCCACGGCAGGUCCGAGCUUUGUGAACCGUCCCUCUCACGUCUGCUUUGAGGGUUUGUGUCAAUGGGGC
rnacentral:lncRNA from 1 species